GUGGGGAAUUUUGGACAAUGGGCGCAAGCCUGAUCCAGCAAUGCCGCGUGCAGGAAGAAGGCCUUCGGGUUGUAAACUGCUUUUGUACGGAACGAAACGGUCCGGGUUAAUACCCUGGGCUAAUGACGGUACUGUAAGAAUAAGCACCGGCUAACUACGUGCCAGCAGCCGCGGUAAUACGUAGGGUGCAAGCGUUAAUCGGAAUUACUGGGCGUAAAGCGUGCGCAGGCGGUUUUGUAAGACAGGCGUGAAAUCCCCGGGCUCAACCUGGGAAUUGCGCUUGUGACUGCAAGGCUGGAGUGCGGCAGAGGGGGAUGGAAUUCCGCGUGUAGCAGUGAAAUGCGUAGAUAUGCGGAGGAACACCGAUGGCGAAGGCAAUCCCCUGGGCCUGCACUGACGCUCAUGCACGAAAGCGUGGGGAGCAAACAGGAUUAGAAACCCUGGUAGUCC
rnacentral:rRNA from 1 species